AUUGAACGCUGGCGGCAGGCCUAACACAUGCAAGUCGAACGAGUGGCGGACGGGUGGGUAAUGUCUGGGAAACUGCCUGAUGGAGGGGGAUAACUACUGGAAAAGGUAGCUACUACCGCAUACCAUCGGAUGUGCCCCGAUGGGAUUAGCUGGUAGGGGGGGUAAAGGCUCACCUAGGCGGAGAUCCCUAGCUGGUCUGAUAGGAUGACCAGCCACACGGGAACUGAGACACGGUCCAGACUCCGACGGGAGGCAGCAGUGGGGAAUAUUGCACAAUGGGCGCAAGCCUGAUGCAGCCAUGCCGCGUGUAUGAAGAAGGCCUUCGGGUUGUAAAGUACUUUCAGCGGGGAGGCGUUACCUGCAGAAGAAGCACCGGCUAACUCCGUGCCAGCAGCCGCGGUAAUUC
rnacentral:rRNA from 1 species